CUUCCCUGUUAAUCCUUUUCUAAUCCCAUUUUUGCUCCUUUUUUUCCAUUUUUUCCCGAUUUUUAUUGGGAUUUCUGCGGCUCCGCCCCCUCCGUGUCCGAUAAAUGCCGGGCGGAGCCUCCGGGGGCAGCGAGCGGAGCCGGCAGCGAGCGGAGCCCGAGCCAGCUGUGUGCCGGCGAUGGCUCCGUGUUUUCUCCUCCUUCUCCUUUUGGGUUUUUUUCUGUGCGGCCCCGCGGGAGCUUCGGGGCCGUGCUGGGAAAAUCCCAAAAAUCCCAAAUGCGACCCCGGGGACGGCGACGGCGGAACCGCGGCGUGCUCGGUGGGCUCGUGCCGCGGCCGCCUCUCGCUGGAGUCGCCCGUUUUCCCCGGC